CCUACGGGAGGCAGCAGUGGGGAAUAUUGCACAAUGGGCGCAAGCCUGAUGCAGCGACGCCGCGUGCGGGAUGACGGCCUUCGGGUUGUAAACCGCUUUUGACUGGGAGCAAGCCCUUCGGGGUGAGUGUACCUUUCGAAUAAGCACCGGCUAACUACGUGCCAGCAGCCGCGGUAAUACGUAGGGUGCAAGCGUUAUCCGGAAUUAUUGGGCGUAAAGGGCUCGUAGGCGGUUCGUCGCGUCCGGUGUGAAAGUCCAUCGCUUAACGGUGGAUCCGCGCCGGGUACGGGCGGGCUUGAGUGCGGUAGGGGAGACUGGAAUUCCCGGUGUAACGGUGGAAUGUGUAGAUAUCGGGAAGAACACCAAUGGCGAAGGCAGGUCUCUGGGCCGUCACUGACGCUGAGGAGCGAAAGCGUGGGGAGCGAACAGGAUUAGAUACCCUGGUAGUCCACGCCGUAAACGGUGGAUGCUGGAUGUGGGGACCAUUCCACGGUCUCCGUGUCGGAGCCAACGCGUUAAGCAUCCCGCCUGGGGAGUACGGCCGCAAGGCUAAAACUCAAAGAAAUUGACGGGGGCCCGCACAAGCGGCGGAGCAUGCGGAUUAAUUCGAUGCAACGCGAAGAACCUUACCUGGGCUUGACAUGUUCCCGACAGCCGUAGAGAUACGGUCUCCCUUCGGGGCGGGUUCACAGGUGGUGCAUGGUCGUCGUCAGCUCGUGUCGUGAGAUGUUGGGUUAAGUCCCGCAACGAGCGCAACCCUCGCCCUGUGUUGCCAGCACGUCGUGGUGGGAACUCACGGGGGACCGCCGGGGUCAACUCGGAGGAAGGUGGGGAUGACGUCAGAUCAUCAUGCCCCUUACGUCCAGGGCUUCACGCAUGCUACAAUGGCCGGUACAACGGGAUGCGACACCGCGAGGUGGAGCGGAUCCCUUAAAACCGGUCUCAGUUCGGAUUGGAGUCUGCAACCCGACUCCAUGAAGGCGGAGUCGCUAGUAAUCGCGGAUCAGCAACGCCGCGGUGAAUGCGUUCCCGGGCCUUGUACACACCGCCCGUCAAGUCAUGAAAGUGGGUAGCACCCGAAGCCGGUGGCCCAACCUUUUGGGGGGAGCCGUCUAAGGUGAGACUCGUGAUUGGGACUAAGUCGUAACAAGGUAGCCGUACCGGAAGGUGCGGCUG
rnacentral:rRNA from 1 species